GGGGAGGAAAGAAAUCAGUGGCAGCUAGUAGGCCGGGGAAGGGGAGCCACCUUCGGUUGGACUCGUGACAGGAGCCACCAGUCUGAUCACAGUUAUUAGUUAUCGUCAGCUAAGUCCCCUCCUGUUCCCUGAUUAAGAGGGGAUGACUACUCCACUCCACGACCUUUGUCAACUUUCUCCUGACAUGAACUGAAGCCAUGUUUCAUGUGCCCUCUCAUCCACUGGCACAUUGAAUGUUUCCCCUCCAAGUUCUCCUCUGAACACCUCAACUCAUGCCUCAUACCCUCAUUCAAUCAUUGCUGUGAUCUCUUUCCAACAUGGUCAGCACGUCUCCUCCUGACAUUAGUUCAUUUACUGUGGUUUUGUCCCUGAGCCAGCAGCACGUCUCCUCCUGACAUUAGUUCAUUUACUGUGGUGAUGUCCCUGAGCCAGCAGCACGUCUCCUCCUGACAUUAGUUCAUUUACUGUGGUGAUGUCCCUGAGCCAGCAGCACGUCUCCUCCUGACAUUAGUUCAUUUACUGUGGUGAUGUCCCUGAGCCAGCAGCACGUCUCCUCCUGACAUUAGUUCAUUUACUGUGGUGAUGUCCCUGAGCCAGCAGCACGUCUCCUCCUGACAUUAGUUCAUUUACUGUGGUGAUGUCCCUGAGCCAGCAGCACGUCUCCUCCUGACAUUAGUUCAUUUACUGUGGUGAUGUCCCUGAGCCAGCAGCACGUCUCCUCCUGACAUUAGUUCAUUUACUGUGGUGAUGUCCCUGAGCCAGCAGCACGUCUCCUCCUGACAUUAGUUCAUUUACUGUGGUGAUGUCCCUGAGCCAGCAGCACGUCUCCUCCUGACGCAAAUGUAAACACAGAACAGCCUAAUCACCACUGGAGCUGAAAGGGAGAGUAAGCUGACUGUCUCUGUCUGGAUCAGGCUCCCAGCUGACAUCCAGCUUGUUGUCCAGACUGAGAUGGGAGACAGUGCAGGUGUAGUUGUGUCUCUCUCUCAGUUCCUCUGUAAUGACCUCCAGUCUCUUCCUCAGCUAGUACACUCAGUCUCCAUUGGGUGGCAGCUGCCCACCUGUCAUCUCCUGUUCUGCUUUUAGCUGGCCGUCUCUCAGCAGGGUCAGGUUGGUAUGUCGUGGGUUGAAACCAAACACCAGACAGCUCAUUUGGAGCCCUACAGACAUUACUUUCUGAAUAAGACUCUAAGACACACUUUACGGAUCACAAUUUUCUUCACUGUCUGCAGGGAUGUCUCCAAACAAUGAAUGUAAACGUCUACAAAUUCCAACUGAAAGCUUUUUUGAACACAAUGUGAAAAUAAUCUGUUCAGGUUCAGGAUCACAUUCUUUGUUUGCUCUGCUCUGAAAAGAUGGGUGUACUAAAAUAGUGUUUACUAAACAACGAUAGUUCCUACUCUUGAUUUCUGUACCUCAAUGAAAACAUGCUGCAAACACUGCUACAUUACUCCAUAACAUUAUCAGUGUCACGUUCUGACCUUUAUUUCCUUUGUUUUGUCAUUAUUUAGUAUGGUCAGGGCGUGAGUUGGGGUGGGCAGUCUAUGUUU